GGGUUGUGAGGUUAAGCGACUAAGCGUACACGGUGGAUGCCCUGGCAGUCAGAGGCGAUGAAGGGCGUGCUAAUCUGCGAUAAGCGCCGGUAAGGUGAUAUGAACCGUUAUAACCGGCGAUACCCGAAUGGGGAAACCCAGUGUGACUCGUCACACUAUCAUUAACUGAAUCCAUA
rnacentral:rRNA from 3 species